GAGAAGUUUCUUUCUGCAUAGUUCUAAUAAGGGAUUAAUCAAAUAUGAUAAAAGAUAAUGUUUUGUUAAAAAAUUUAUGGGUGUUGAAGGAGGCAGCCUGCCUGGGUUCCACAACUGGCUUUGUGUGAUUUUGGACGAGUCAUUCAAUCUUUUGGGCCUUGGUUUCGUCAUCUCUGAGUGAUAAUGUUUUGAGGAUAAAAUAAAAUAACCUAUGAAGUAUUUAGCAUGGGGGACUUCUUCACAUUAAGAGCUAAAUAAAUGUUAUCAUGAUAUGUAUAUUAGUUGACUGCUUUCAUCUAAAAGUAACAGAAAUUCUGGUUCAAACUGGCUCAAACACUAAGGAAGUUUUUUUUCUCAUGUAACAGGAAGAUCAAUGGUAGGGCAUUGGUUACCUCCCUUAAGGGUAACUGUGAGUCCACAGUUCCAUGAUGUAAUAGAGAUCCAGGUUCUUUCCAUCUGUGAUCUCCAAUUCUUAGUGUCAGCUUCAUGCAUAGGUAGUAACAUGGUCAUAGCAGUUUCUACAUAUGACAAAACCCAGAAGAACAAGGGAUGCUAUUUGUGGACUGAAUGUUUGUGUCUCCCCAGAAUUCAUGUUGAAACCCUAUUCCCCAGUGUGAUAGCAUUAGGAGUUGGGCCUUUGAGAGGAUAAAAUGAGAAGUCAGCAGUCUGGAACCCGGAAGAGAAACCUCAUCAGAAACUGACCAUGCUGGCACCCUAAAACUGGGACUUCCAGCCUCCAGAAUUAUGACAUGAGAUAUCAAGGAGGAAAGAGAAAGGAGC